rnacentral:rRNA from 1 species
UACGGGGGGGGCAAGCGUUGUUCGGAAUUACUGGGCGUAAAGGGCUCGUAGGCGGCCAACUAAGUCCGACGUGAAAUCCCCAGGCUUAACCUGGGAACUGCGUCGGAUACUGGAUGGCUUGAAUUCGGGAGAGGGAUGCAGAAUUCCAGGUGUAGCGGUGAAAUGCGUAGAUAUCUGGAGGAAUACCGGUGGCGAAGGCGGCAUCCUGGACCGACAUUGACGCUGAACCGCGAAAGCUAGGGGAGCGAACGGG